rnacentral:rRNA from 1 species
UACGUAGGGGGCAAGCGUUGUCCGGAUUUAUUGGGCGUAAAGCGCGCGCAGGCGGUCCUUUAAGUCUGAUGUGAAAGCCCACGGCUCAACCGUGGAGGGUCAUUGGAAACUGGAGGACUUGAGUACAGAAGAGGAAAGCGGAAUUCCACGUGUAGCGGUGAAAUGCGUAGAGAUGUGGAGGAACACCAGUGGCGAAGGCGGCUUUCUGGUCUGUAACUGACGCUGAGGCGCGAAAGCGUGGGGAGCAAACAGG